rnacentral:rRNA from 1 species
AUUGAACGCUGGCGGAAUGCUUUACACAUGCAAGUCGAACGGCAGCACGAGGGCAACCUUGGUGGCGAGUGGCGAACGGGUGAGUAAUACAUCGGAACGUGCCCAGUCGUGGGGGAUAACGUAGCGAAAGCUACGCUAAUACCGCAUACGAUCUAUGGAUGAAAGCGGGGGACCGUAAGGCCUCGCGCGAUUGGAGCGGCCGAUGGCAGAUUAGGUAGUUGGUGGGGGUAAAGGCUCACCAAGCCUGCGAUCUGUAGCUGGUCUGAGAGGACGACCAGCCACACUGGAACUGAGACACGGUCCAGACUCCUACGGGAGGCAGCAGUGGGGAAUUUUGGACAAUGGGCGCAAGCCUGAUCCAGCCAUUCCGCGUGCAGGAUGAAGGCCUCGGUUGUAACUAGCUUUGUACGGUAACGAAAGGUUUACCGUUAAUUACGGUAGAGCUCAUGACGGUACCGUAA